rnacentral:rRNA from 1 species
AUGGGAUCGCCCGCCGCGGUCGCCGCCGAUUCAGCGUUUAUCUACACUCUUCUCCGCCUGGGAAUCAUCAUGUGCUUGCUGACCUGCUCGGGCCACAUCGCCGCUGAAACUGCAAACAGCCCCUGCCUGUCUUGUCACGUGAUCUUUGUAUUCUUGCUUGUGAUACUGGAAGCUGCAAUCGCCGCCGAUGUAUUUUUGAAUAGCUACUGGGAGGAGCCUUUUAGAGAUUCCAUGCAAUUUAUAAAUUAUAAUUUCAGUGAUGUCUCAUCCUUCUCAUUUGCUAUCCAUGGCACUCGGCUUAUAGCAUAUAAGCCGAUCAAAUGUAAACCGUGUCAUAUAAGCCGGGAGUUUGACUCGGCUUAUAUAUAA